AUACGAUGCUGCCACGUAGUAUCCUGUGCGCCUUCGUUGCUUGCGUUGAUGAUUUAUUUAAAGAUACAAAAGAGGGAGAUUAUGCGAUUAUGGAUCACUACGAGGCCUUGGGGAUCGGCCGAAACGCCAGCAAAGGAGAAAUAAAAGAAGCGUUUCGGAAGUUGGCUCUGAAAUAUCAUCCAGACAAGCACGCACAGUCGCCCAAGGCCGUGAGAGACGGCGCAACUCUCCGAUUCAAGCAGGUUUCCGAGGCCUACGAGGUCCUUUCCGACGAUCGCAAGCGCUCCCUCUACAAUCUCCGAUCCUCCACCGCCCCACCCGGAUUUUCAGGUGGCUACGCCCACUCCUAUCAUUAUAAUAAUGAAAGACCUAGGUAUUCAUCUAGGCCCAAUGCCGAUGCCUUUGUUUCCAAAUUUGAGGUGGUUCUUCGCUUCCUGACCACUCGCGCGUUUCUACUCAACGUGGCCUUUGCUGGUGCUUUAUUAGGUGGUAUGGCGAUAAUUGAUAGGAGUGGGGAGACACUAUGGAAGAUGAACAAUUCUGGGAAAUCAUUUGACGAAGCCAUGGAGUCCAUUGGGAAGGCAAAAGCACAUAAAGAUGACAUGUAAAAGGGGCUAUCCAUGAUUUUCAUUGUAUGCUUUCCUCCCAUCAGAUCAAGAGCAGCAGCACGGAGUCCCAAAAGCGAAGGAACACAAAUGGCCGAGCCUGCUCUCUCUCUUGUCACACGCACACAGAGUAAAUCAAUGUUGUGACAUCACUGACAUGGAGCCAGACGGGUUCAGUGAUAGAAGGGUCUGUCAUCCAGUGAAACAAUUAAAUGAAAGCAAAUCUCAAAGGUUGACCAUAGGCAAGAAUUCUUGUUCUGAUUCAGAAGAGAGUUGGAAGCUUUGUUAAUGACUGAGAAUGGAGAAUUGGGUAUUAGCUAGCAGGUAUUCCUUCCUUGGUGGACCUUGUAGCUCAGAGUCGGUCAGUGAAAGCUCCAUUGAUAUAAAUGCUUGGCAGGUAAAGAAAUUUAAGCUUUUAACUCUUUUUCACAUUCGCGAAAGGGAAAACUGAAGAUGGGAGAUGGGGCCAGUCUGUCCGCGUGGGAACACUUCCUCGUUUGGGUGCAUAAGUCCAUUAAUAUGAUGGAAUUGCUCA